rnacentral:tRNA from 2 species
AGGGUUCGAGUCCCUCUACCCCCAGAAAUAAAAUGAAAUUCAUUUUAUUAGUC